CAGACCAGAACACAGCAUCCCCUUUGUAGAAAAUGAGAGAUUCCUGAUUUUUUUGCUACUACAUAGAGAUCCACAAAGUAUCCAAUCCUUAUUGCUGUCAUUGAAAGUGAUAAAGAAUAUAUAGUUAAAGGAGAAGGAUCUUGCAAUAAAGAAAGUGAUGCCAAGAACUAAUUAAUGAUGGAACUGUUGGUUGUAUACAGUGAUACUGAGGAACAACAACAGCAGCCUGAUUAAAAGUAAAGGGCAGUGAUAUUCUGGACUUUUCCUCAGAGGGAGAGCCUGAACAAAGUGUAUGAUUCAAGUGACCCUGACCUCACACAAGACU